UGGGGAAUAUUGCACAAUGGGCGCAAGCCUGAUGCAGCCAUGCUGCGUGUGUGAAGAAGGCCUUCGGGUUGUAAAGCACUUUCAGCGGGGAGGAAGGCGAUAAGGUUAAUAACCUUGUCGAUUGACGUUACCCGCAGAAGAAGCACCGGCUAACUCCGUGACAGCAGCCGCGGUAAUACGGAGGGUGCAAGCGUUAAUCGGAAUUACUGGGCGUAAAGCGCACGCAGGCGGUCUGUCAAGUCGGUUGUGAAAUCCCCGGGCUCAACCUGGGAACUGCAUUGGAAACUGGCAGACUAGAGUCUUGUAGGGGGGGGUAGAAUUCCAGGUGUAGCGGUGAAAUGCGAAGAGAACUAGAGGACUACCGGUGGCGAAGGCAGCCCCAGGGACAAAGACUGACGCUCAGGUGCGAAAGCGUGGGGAGCAAACAGG
rnacentral:rRNA from 1 species